CGGAGUGUAGCUCAGCCUGGUAGAGCACUGCGUUCGGGACGCAGGGGUCGCAAGUUCGAAUCCUGUCACUCCGA
rnacentral:tRNA from 1 species